rnacentral:rRNA from 1 species
UACGGAAGGCAGCAGUGGGGAAUAUUGCACAAUGGGCGAAAGCCUGAUGCAGCUAUGCCGCGUGUAUGAAGAAGGCCUUAGGGUUGUAAAGUACUUUCAUCGGGGAGGAAAAACAAAACUAAUAAUUUUAUUUCUUGACGUUACCCGAAAAAGAAGCACCGGCUAACUCCGUGCCAGCAGCCGCGGUAAUACGGAGGGUGCAAGCGUUAAUCGGAAUUACUGGGCGUAAAGCGCACGCAGGCGGUCUGUUAAGUCAGAUGUGAAAUCCCCGGGCUUAACCUGGGAACUGCAUUUUGAAACUGGCAGGCUUGAGUCUUGUAGAGGGGGUAGAAUUCCAGGUGUAGCGGUGAAAUGCGUAGAGAUCUGGAGGAAUACCGGUGGCGAAGGCGGCCCCUGGACAAAGACUGACGCUCAGGGUGCGAAAGCGUGGGGAGCAAACAGGGAUUAGAUACC